GCUGGGUGUGGUGGUGCGCACCUAUAAUCCCAGCUCCUUGGGAGGCUGAGACAGGAGACUCACUUGAACCCAGGAGGCAGAGGUUGCAGUGAGUGGAGAUCACACCACUGCACUCCAGCCUGGGUGACAGAGUGAGACCCCAUCUCAA
rnacentral:SRP_RNA from 2 species